AUACCAUUGGUUUCCAAUACUGACUGCCCAUCUGUGUCUCUUGGAGAGGUUAAAAAGCACGAAUAACCAGACCACAUCCCAUGCAAAAAAAAAGGAGGACAGGUGAUAAAAAUGUCCAGACACAAAUGGCAAGCACGGGUGUAAACAUACACGGAGACUGAGUCAGAAAGUCACUAUUCUGGACUCGUGAUUGCUGUUAUUUGAAUCAGCAAUUUUCCAAUGAGAC
rnacentral:lncRNA from 1 species